GGGGAUGUGGCGGAAUUGGUAGACGCGCUGGAUUCAAAAUCCCGUUCUCGCAAGAGAGUAUGGGUUCAAGUCCCAUCAUCCCCA
rnacentral:tRNA from 1 species